UACGUAGGGGGCUAGCGUUGUCCGGAAUCAUUGGGCGUAAAGCGCGUGUAGGCGGUUCGGUAAGUCCGCUGUGAAGUCGGGGGCUCAACCCUCGGAUGCCGGUGGAUACUGUCGGACUAGAGUACGGAAGAGGCGAGUGGAAUUCCUGGUGUAGCGGUGAAAUGCGCAGAUAUCAGGAGGAACACCGAUUGCGAAGGCAGCUCGCUGGGACGUUACUGACGCUGAGACGCGAAAGCGUGGGGAGCAAACAGG
rnacentral:rRNA from 1 species